rnacentral:rRNA from 1 species
UAGCCCUACGGGGCGCAGCAGUGAGGAAUAUUGGUCAAUGGGCGGAAGCCUGAACCAGCCAAGUCGCGUGAGGGAAUAAGGCCCUACGGGUCGUAAACCUCUUUUGCCGGGGAGCAAGGGCCGGGACGCGUCCCGGACCGGAGAGUACCCGGAGAAAAAGCAUCGGCUAAAUCCGUGCCAGCAGCCGCGGUAAUACGGAGGAUGCGAGCGUUAUCCGGAUUUAUUGGGUUUAAAGGGUGCGUAGGCGGGCAUUUAAGUCAGCGGUAAAAAUUCGGGG